UACCACCUUUUCUGUCUAUUCCUUUACCUGUCAGGUGCCACUCCCUGCACACAGGGACUAACCCAGAUGCACAAGGAAGGCCUCAGUAACUGCUCACUGGACAAGAUGGAAAAUCAAAAGCUGAGUCUGCGCUGGCUUGCUUCACUCAACUGUUCUGUUCCCACUCUUUAGCAGGAGCUGCCCCAGUGCUGUCACGUUGGUGGUCCUCUGUCACCUCUCUGUCGCCCACAGCUUUUCCUUGACACCAUCUGGCUGCUACACCAGCUGAACGCAUGAUGUCAUUAAGCCCCCCACCACUCCAGCCACGGUGGUGUCUCACUGCAGGCAGCUGUUAGGGAUGUGGCGAUGAGAGUUAUUAGUAGGGCUCAGGCGUCGGUGUAUGACGUGUUGUCUGUCUCAUGAGUAGGUCUCA